rnacentral:lncRNA from 1 species
UACAAAGCAAGUUCUAGGAUAGCCAGAGCUACACAGAGAAACGUUGUCUGAAAAAAAAAGCCUCAAAUUUUCAUGUUAGUUAUAAAAAGUUCAAUAAUCCCAGCACUCAGAAAGCUGAGGCAGGAUUACAGAAACUCAAGGCCAGUUUGUUAGCGAGACGUUGGCAAGAAAAAUAAAUGAAAUCGGCACACGUGUUAUCUAGGAGCCACAUACUCACUCACUAAAUACUUUAAUGAACAACCGGAGAUGCCCAGGCGAUGCUCUGAAAACCUAGAUUUGUGCAAAACAAGCAAAUGACUAAAACGUCUUUAUAACCAGGAAGACAAAGGCGGGGAAGAAGCGAUGAAUGCUGUUGAGUCUGGGUGAAGGAAACCCAAGAGCCUGCACACAGGUGAGCAAAUGUAUCAUGGCAUUGGUUACUGGGUAUGGGUCGCUGUACAGGUGUGAGAAGCAGGCCACACUCUCAAGGCACUUGUAAUAGGCCCAGGUCAGGGCAGUGGAGUCUCAGGGCUUUGCAACAUUUAGCCUUGUUUAUUCCAGAUAAAACAACUUAUGUCACCUGUAGUCUAUGGUUCAGAACAACAAAACAUUUAUCCAAGUUUUUAAAACCCUAAAAGCCUGGACAGGAUUAUCAACUGUAGCAGUACACCUGCUACAAAUACAAGCUAACAAAUACAUUCAAGCCAAGUUUCAAAUAUUUUAUUUUCUUACUCAUACAGUAUGAAGUUCUCUAAAGAUUUCACAACAUGACAUGUAUCAUGCAGAAGAAAAUUUAAACAUUCAACAUAAACCAUGCCCUCCCCACCUCCCUCACACAAACUAAAAAAGAAACCCCUUCAUUCCCCAGUAAGGAAAUAGUUUGCACUAUUUUUUUCCACAACGCCAGCCAAGAUAUGCACAAGCAAGAGAUAUAGAAAGCAUUUGCUAAAAUAUUUGUAACAAAUAAUUAUGUACAAAAAAAUUCACAAAAGACUAGUCAGUCCCUCCUGAAGCAGAGCACAUGGCGGUUGACACUGGGACAGAUCACACCACUGGCUGGGAUUGCAAGCCAUGUGCUGAUCCAGAGGGAGAAAGUAGUUACAUGGAGUGGAGAUUUUCAUUUUGAGUAUUAACAUUUCCAAAGUUUGGCAACAUCAUCUUUUAAAAUUAUGCAAAUUAUGUAAACAAGAGGUACAUUUUAAAUUGAUCUACAUGCAAAACUCCAUGUCAUGCAAAGACACCAAGCACCGGGAUUUUUCUCUCACAGACAGAGCCCAUGGUGUGCAGCACUCAGUUGAGGGGACAGCGGUGGCAGGCAGGUGUACUCUAUUUAAUAUUCCCUCACCUCGAUUCGACCCGCCCUUUACCACUCAUGAUUACAAAACCAAUUUAUAUAGAAAAACUGUAUAGGGAAGACUGCCAUAUAAAACUAUCCAGAAUGUCUCUCUUCCAGUACCUUUGCAGAGAAGGGAAGGGAUAACGUCAUGUGGUAGACCAUGACGUACUUUUACGUCACACAAAUCUAUUACAUCAUCAGCCAUUGCUAGUUGUGCAGGCAAAACAACAAAAUCCAUCAUGUGCUAUCUUGCCUUCUAUCUGGCAAAGAAAUUUUAAAAAUGUAAAUGUGGGCAAAAUCUGCUCUCCAACGGCAUAUAGAUUAGCAGGAUACUCCCCCAUUUUAACCACAAAUGGGAUUUUACAGAAAUAUGUGCUCUUUAAGUAUCAGUUGACUUUUUUUCCGGUUAACUUUUUUUGAAAUGCAUGAAUAAACCCAGGAUUUGUAGUUUAGUGACAAGUGUUUCCUUGUGUACAACGAAACAAGGAUGUUUUAAGCCAUUGCAUGACUGCUUUGGAUUUUCUUCACUAAAUAAUAACGUUUAAAAAAGUCAUGACUGCCUCAGAAAACUUCUGACCUUGAUAAAAUCACAACUGCUAAUUACAUUUUUUCUCAGGGACGCUUAAUAAAAUUAACAGCGACUACUUAAAAAGUAUCAGCCUGAAGCAGCCACAGGGUAUGCAGUUCUAUGGACACAAGAACCCACUCUUGGCAACAGCACUGAACUAGACCUCCAACAGAGAUGGAUUAAACGCUGCUCGGCAGUAAGACACAGUCCCUGGAAAGAUACUCAGAGAUAUAAAUAAAGUUACAGACUCGUUACAAAAGUGUAAUUAAGGUAAAUAAUAGGGCAUUAACAAAUGCUUUGUCAAUCUCUCAAAGGAGAAAGCACAGAGAAAGGAAACUAGCUGGCCUAAUACCUGGCGCGAAUUGUACAAUCCUCUAUCUACAUAUAAAACCGUGUGAAAUAAAAGUAAGGAUGGUAUAUGUUCUGCUUGGCACUUUUGUACUCUAACAUUUUGUUUCUGAAUCAAGUAUAUUAAAUUAAAGCCAACCUACUAAAUAUAUAGAAAGCUACAUAUAUCUAUAUAUAAAUAUUUACAUAUGUAUAUAUAGAUACUUUCUUGUUAUAAAAGAUGAAGAAAAAUAAAUUAAAGAGCCACCCCUUCCCUUUCUCCACCAUACUGAUAUGCUCUUUUCCUGCUGCUGCCCCUCAAACUUGAAAGUGCUACACUGAGUUAUUGAGAGGGUAGGAGUUCAAUAACACUUCGUUGGCUUCAUGAGGCUCAUGUUGGAAAAUGUGGCUUCACAGAGAAAAAUACUUCCAUUUACACACACAGAGAGCAUUGCUGGACGUCUUGAGCAGAUCUUCAGAGAUGGAGAAGAAAGCAAAAGUGCUGGGUGGUAGAGUCUUCAAAGAGUCACACAUCCACCACCAUCUUUUUGUGGAUAUCUAGGCCACCUACAACCUG